CCUUUGGGAAAAAAAUCAUCUUUGUUAAACGCAAAAUGUAGUGUGUUGCAGAUGGAAGCACUAUGAGGGCAGCUGCCUCUGAUGCAGGUGUUAUCCUGUCUGGCCGAGGGCAGGUGUUGGUCAUUUUUGGUUUGUUUUUUCCUAUUUAUUGGCUGCGCUGGGUCUUCACUGCUGCGUGUGGGCUUUCUCUAGUUGUGGUGGCCAGGGCUACUCUCUGGUGCAGAACAGGCUUCUUUCUGUGGCUUCUCUUGUUGCCGUGCACGGGCUCUAGAGCAUGCCAACUUUAGUUGUGGGGCACAGGCUGAGUUGCUCUGGGGCAUGUGGGAUCUUCGCAGACCAGGGGUCAAACCUGUGUCCCCUAUAUUGUAAGGUGGACUCUUCAUCCCUGGACAACCAGAGAAGCCAGGUCAUUUUUCAUUAGAAACACUCGCUAUAAAGAAAGAGAAAAUCAUCUGUACUUCAUUUAAGAAAAAAAAAAAAAGGAAGACUUUAGAAAACUUUAGGAGAAUGGAUUCAUUGCAAGUCUUAAAAUGUCAAGUUACCUACUAUACUAAGUCACUGCAGUUGUGUCUGGCUCCUGGUGACCCUAUGGAUCGUAGCCCACCAGGCUCCUCUGUCCAUGGGAUUCUCCAGGCAAGACUACCGGAGUGGGUUGCCUUGCCCUCCUCUAGGGGAUCUUCCUGACCCAGGGAUCAAACCCUCAUCUAUUAUGUCUCCUGCAUUGGCAGGCAAGUUCUUGACUACUAGCACCACCUGGGAAGUCCCAGUUACCUACAAAACGGGGCAAAAGAUUGGUUUCUAUCGUAUCUGAGAAGAAAGUGAAGCACUAAGCAAAAUUCAUGCCUAGCUUUUAAGAAUCAAACAUCCAAUAAUACAGAUUCAUCCUCAGAGUGCCUGAAGUACUAUGGACAGAAGUUCGUGACAUUGUACAGGAGACAGGGAUCAAGAUCAUCCCCAUGGAAAAGAAAGGCAAAAAAGAAAAAUGGCUGUCUGAGGAGGACUUACAAAUAGCUUUGAAAAGAAGAGAAGUGAAAAGCAAAGGAGAAAAGGAAAGAUAUAAGCAUCUGAAUGCAGAGUUCCAAAGAAUAGCAAGGAGAGAUAAGAAAGCCUUCCUCAAUGAUCAAUGCAAAGAAAUAGAGGAAAACAACAGAAUGGGAAAGACUAGAGAUCUCUUCAAGAAAAUUAGAGAUACCAGGGAACAUUUCAUGCAAAGAUGGGCUCGAUAAAGGACAGAAAUGAGGGCAGCUCCUUUGUGUGUGUGCUGAGUCACUUCAGUCGUGUCUGACUUUUUGUGACCCUAUGGAC
ensembl:lncRNA